UGAGUCAUUGUAGCAAUACAAGGCAUACGGCUCAGUAACACGUAGUCAAUCUGCCCUAUGGACGUGGAUAACCUCGGGAAACUGAGAAUAAUCCGCGAUAGAUCAUAAUGCCUGGAACGGUUUAUGGUCCAAAUGAUUCGUCGCCAUAGGAUGGGACUGCGGCCUAUCAGCUUGUUGGUGAGGUAAUGGCCCACCAAGGCUAUUACAGGUACGGGCUCUGAGAGGAGAAGCCCGGAGAUGGGUACUGAGACACGGACCCAGGCCCUAUGGGGCGCAGCAGGCGAGAAACCUUUGCAAUGUGCGCAAGCACGACAAGGUUAAUCCGAGUGUUUCCUGCUAAAGGAAUCUUUUGUUAGUUCUAAAACCACUGAUGAAUAAGGGGUGGGCAAGUUCUGGUGUCAGCCGCCGCGGUAAAACCAGCACCUCAAGUGGUCAGGAGGAUUAUUGGGCCUAAAGCAUCCGUAGCCGGUUCUGUAAGUUUCCGGUUAAAUCCACUAGCUCAACUAAUGGGCUGCCAGAAAUACUGCANAACUAGGGAGUGGGAGAGGUAGACGGUACUCGGGAGGAAGGGGUAAAAUCCUUUGAUCUCUUGAUGACCACCUGUGGCGAAGGCGGUCUACCANAACACGUUCGACGGUGAGGGAUGAAAGCUGGGGGAGCAAACCGGAUUAGAUACCCGGGUAGUCCCAGCUGUAAACGAUGCAGACUCGGUGAUGCACUGGCUUUUGGCCAGUGCAGUGCCGCAGGGAAGCCGUUAAGUUUGCCGCCUGGGAAGUACGUACGCAAGUAUGAAACUUAAAGGAAUUGGCGGGGGAGCACCACAAGGGGUGAAGCCUGCGGUUCAAUUGGAUUCAACGCCGGAAAGGGCGAAUUCGUUUAAACCUGCAGGACUAGUCCUU
rnacentral:rRNA from 1 species